rnacentral:rRNA from 1 species
CCUACGGGAGGCAGCAGUGAGGAAUAUUGGUCAAUGGGCGCAAGCCUGAACCAGCCAUGCCGCGUGCAGGAUGAAGCAUCUAUGGUGUGUAAACUGCUUUUGUACGGGAAGAAACCCUUGCUCGUGAGCAAGAUUGACGGUACCGUAAGAAUAAGGAUCGGCUAACUCCGUGCCAGCAGCCGCGGUAAU